GAUGAACGCUAGCGGCAGGCCUAAUACAUGCAAGUCGAGCGGUGUCUUCGGACAUAGUGGCGCACGGGUGCGUAACACGUAUGCAACCUACCUUACAUUGGGGGAUAGCCUUUCGAAAGGGAGAUUAAUACCGCAUAAGACAGUAGCUGGGCAUCCAGCAGCUGUUAAAGAUUUAUCGAUGUAAGCUGGGCAUGCGUCCAAUUAGCUAGUUGGUGAGGUAACGGCUCACCAAGGCUAUGAUUGGUAGGGGAACUGAGAGGUCAAUCCCCCACACUGGCACUGAGAUACGGGCCAGACUCCUACGGGAGGCAGCAGUAGGGAAUAUUGGGCAAUGGACGCAAGUCUGACCCAGCCAUGCCGCGUGCAGGAUGAAGGCGUUAUGCGUUGUAAACUGCUUUUAUACAGGAAGAAACGACUCUUGCGAGAGGCAUUGACGGUACUGUAUGAAUAAGCACCGGCUAACUCCGUGCCAGCAGCCGCGGUAAUAC
rnacentral:rRNA from 1 species